CGUGUACUGGUGGGGUCCCUUGGCCUAGCCUGCAGGGAUUGGACUGAAACCAGCUCUCUGACAUCCCCUGAGGGGUGCUGGAUUGCGAGAGGGUGCAGGCCAGGCCAAGGGACCCCACUGGUGCACG
rnacentral:pre_miRNA from 1 species